CCUACGAGGCGGCCAGCGGCAUGCCGAAGAGGACCACGUGGACCAAACUUUGGGGAAGGAAAAAAUGGGGACGUGGGGCUACAGAUCUGCUAAAGUCGAUAGGCCGUAGAGGUUCACCGUGGACUGGGGACCCAUCCGAUGGGAUGCUUUAUUAACUCUGGCCUUUCCCAGGAGCCUGGAGUUUACCCCUCUACCCGGGCCCACUCAGUCCCCUGUGGGACUUGUGAGUCACAGUGGGAAGCCCAAGGGAGUCAGAAGACCCCAUCUUGUCCUAAUUGAGGCAAUUCAGGAGAGAAAACAGACCUCUUGAAAGAAGGUCAUUCCGGACUCCUGAUGCCGCCAGUCCCUCAGUGAGACGUGAGCGCCAUUGGCGUCCGUGGCCUCUGUUUCCGUGGCAACCCAGUAACCAUUAAUUUUCAAUUAAAGGAGACAAAAAGCUGGAUGACAGCUCCGGGUCUGCUGAAGAUGUCAAGAAUCUGUAUUAAUAUACAGCAAGAGAGCAUAAUUGUGUGUCCAUCUUCCAGAGCGGUGAAAAAUGGAGGGAUAAUUACCGGCUCGAAAGCCACUCUGUAAUUUAGUCCUUACUGUCACCACAGCCCUACACAUUAGCAUAAAUUAAAAGCAGGGUUUAUUGUUAUCAAAGUGCA